rnacentral:sRNA from 1 species
UUUUAUUACACAUAUUUGUUGUUGUGCAAGAAGAAAACAAAAAAUCUAAAAAUGAAGAAAAUGAUGAUGUGAAAAGCCCUUGGGCAGUAAAUCAUAAAACAGGAGGAGUGUUUUCAUAUCUCUUUUCUGCCGUAGCAAAGCCCAGCAGCAAACAACUCUUCUUGUGCUGUGCUACAUUUUUUUGUUUGUGUUUUUUUUAUUGUUUACGCAAUCCUCCUGGUCUUCUACGUCUACUCCAACUUCCAGCACGGGUGUUGUUGGACCUACUUACUGUUACUCCAACUCUUGCAGCUGUGUACUAUUUUCUCUCUUACUCUCCGUCACAGUUACUCUACGCUUCGUUAUCUACGGCUAUUAUGGAAGGGUUAAUGUGAUAACCAUCGGGCUCCAGUUUAAAACUUCUCUCAAUUUUAAUUUGGCAGCUGUUAAAGAGAAGUAUGGAAACGACUUUCACCGGCUUGAUGUGGAGUGGUAAAAGUGUACACAGAUGAUUCUCCGACCGAGAGCAUGUAUUAAGGAAAGCAUUAAGUUGAUUAAGCAAUAAACAAUAACAAUAGACUCAAAUUCCAAUCACUUCAGUUGUAGACAGCCAAGGCGCAAUUCUUGAUAGCUGCACUCGAAGGAGUUUACGGCUCGCCUCUAAUUGCUCUAAACAAAUGACUGUUCAUUAAUUGAAACGUAUUUAUAAAAUAAAAACCAACCUAAAAAUAAACAAAUGGACGUUACGCCCCAGUGAUUUAACAAAAAAAAAGUAAAGUGAACAAAAAAAGGAGGUAUAACAACAAAAGUACAACACAAAACAAAGAAGGAAUGUUAAGCAAUGACCAACCUCAAAAUGAAGCUGCAUCGUCAUUGUCAACAUCAUUAUCAUUAUGGUCAUCAUACCCAUCAGCAGCAACAGCAGCAAAAGAAACAGAAACAGCAACAAACUCAACAUUACUUCAAGUAUCAUUAUCAAAAUGAAUAUUUGCCCGAUGUCAACUCGAAAAAGAUCAAUGUCCAGCCAUGGUAAAGUCAGUCAUCAGAAGAUUGAAAGAGUGAGCUUGACAACAAAUUGCAGCAACAGCAGCAAAAGCUACUUUAAUCUCCUACAUCGAGAGCCUUACCUACUACUGCAACAAACGACAAUAUCGUCGCCAUUCUCAUUGCCGCCACCAUCACUUUGUUUUCGCCAAAUCCAAGGCGUCCAACAACAAACUUCUUUAAGAUCCUAACGACGAUCGGUGGUGAGGGAGCUGCCUUUGCAAUUAACAAGAAUAACAGCAACAACAAAAACAACAUCGAAGUUGGCGACAAGAACGACGACGGCCACCAACACCACCAUAUGUAUGGGCCUGAUCCCCACGAAUGUGUAAAAGCAACAAAAAGUGAUUUAUUUCUGAAAAUGUUCACAACCUCAACCAACAAAGGCUUAAAGAGAAGGAAAAGCAGAGAGCCAGAGAGUAAAUUUUUUAUGCAUGAUACACAACGACAACAAAAAAUGCCGGCUUAAACAGGGGGAGAUUAGUCUUACGAAGCGUACACAUUCAACCAAACAUAGAGAGUGAGAAACAAACUCCCAAAGAGAAGGAAAGAACGGGAGAGAACAAGAUCUGCUUGCAUUCCGCACUGCUGUAUUUGUCUAAGUUGUUGUUUCCUGCUUGCACAUUACUUGACAAGAUAUCAAACCCAACAGACCUUUGUUAAGCUCCACUCCCCCAAAUGUAAAAUUCAUCGAACGCGGUUACGUACUUAGUGAAGCGACGAGUGCGGGCUUAAAAAUUGUAGUUCUUGUUGUGUUGUUGAGUAUUUCAUUUUUUUCUCUCGGGCAAACACAAACUCAAUUCAAUAAACUAAACUUAAAAAAAGAAAAAAACUAAUUUUACCGAAUGGGAAAAAUCAUAUCCCAUCUGUUUGAUAAUAUUAAAAUUAUCAUGUACAAAUAACUUUCUUCAACCACAACUAUGCAAUGUGAAAAUCUGUCUUCUUUUAUAUCGCUGAGUGAAAAUAAAUGUUGAACUUAUCACAUUAUGUUUUAAAGUUUUCCUGAAUCUUUCUUUGAGAAAAUUACUGAAUGUAUUUGAAAUUCCUUGUAAAAAUCGAAAGAAGUUAAUUUGUGCACAAAGGAGUUUAAACAAAAUCCCACUUUGCUCGAUAAAAUCCCUCAAAAAUGCGUCAUUGAUACU